UUGUAGUCAUAUGCUUGUCUCAAAGAUAAGCAUGCAUGUCUAGUAUAAGCACUUAUACGGUGAAACUGCGAUGGCUCAUAAAUCAGUUAUCGUUAUUGAUAGUGCCUUACUACAUGGAUACCUGUGGUAAUUCUAGAGCUAAUACAUGCUGAAAACCCCGACUUCGGGAGGGGUGUAUUUAUUAGAUAAAAAACCAACGCCCUUUCGGGGCUCCUUGGUGAAUCAUAAUAACUUAACGAAUCGCAUGGCCUUGCGCCGGCGAUGGUUCAUUCAAAUUUCUGCCCUAUCAACUUUCGAUGGUAGGAUAGUGGCCUACCAUGGUGGCAACGGGUAACGGGGAAUUAGGGUUCGAUUCCGGAGAGGGAGCCUGAGAAACGGCUACCACAUCCAAGGAAGGCAGCAGGCGCGCAAAUUACCCAAUCCCGACACGGGGAGGUAGUGACAAUAAAUACUGAUACGGGGCUCUUUUGGGUCUCGUAAUUGGAAUGAGAGCAAUUUAAAUCCCUCACCGAGGAACAAUUGGAGGGCAAGUCUGGUGCCAGCAGCCGCGGUAAUUCCAGCUCCAAUAGCGUAUAUUAAAGUUGUUGCAGUUAAAAAGCUCGUAGUUGAACCUUGGGCCUGGCUGGCCGGUCCGCCUCACCGCGAGUACUGGUCCGGCUGGGCCUUUCCUUCUGGGGAACCCCAUGGCCUUCACUGGCUGUGGGGGGAACCAGGACUUUUACUGUGAAAAAAUUAGAGUGUUCAAAGCAGGCCUUUGCUCGAAUACAUUAGCAUGGAAUAAUAGAAUAGGACGUGCGGUUCUAUUUUGUUGGUUUCUAGGACCGCCGUAAUGAUUAAUAGGGAUAGUCGGGGGCGUCAGUAUUCAGCUGUCAGAGGUGAAAUUCUUGGAUUUGCUGAAGACUAACUACUGCGAAAGCAUUCGCCAAGGAUGUUUUCAUUAAUUAGGGAACGAAAGUUAGGGGAUCGAAGACGAUCAGAUACCGUCGUAGUCUUAACCAUAAACUAUGCCGACUAGGGAUCA
rnacentral:rRNA from 1 species